CCUCAUAGUCAUUGUAUUAUUUCACAAAAAAUGUGUCACUGUCCCAAUACUUUUGGAGCUUACUGUAUAUCUGUUAUUGAAUGAACUAUCCCUUUAAUAUAGUUGAUUAGUGUUGCUGUUGGGCGUGUCUUUCUAUCCAGUCUGUGUUAUCAGGUUCCUCCUGGUACAAGGAGUUUGAUCCACUCUUUGAUAGUGUUGUCGUUGACCCAGCAGAAAGCCGUGCUUCUCCUGGAGCGACUCAUUCAGCUACUGGAGGAGAACAAACAGCCAAGUCUCUCUCUGAGCACCUACUGCCUCCGCAUCUCUGGAAUCUCCACCCAGUCUCUGAGAGUCCCAAUGAAGGCUCUGCCUCAGGACCAGGAUUCUAAGGGCCCCAGUGUCCCCCAGCCUCACUCACAGACAUCUCACAGAAACACUACAAUCUCUGACAUACACUCACAAGAGGGCGAGCCUAUGAAAUAAUCUGUUCAGCCGUCAUAUGUCUGUGUCCCCACACUGUCAGAGGAGGAGUGGGAUAAACUGCUGGAGCUUUCCCAACUCUUUCACCUGGGUGAAAGGGUGUGGAGAGGAAGCUGAGUGGCUUGGCGCAAGAUGCAGGACUUCUGGGGGGGGGGGCCUCAAAGGCAGAGGAAGCUCUUUUAUUGGCUAUCUGGAUGCACAGUGGGAGUGUGAAGGAGAUCUGCUCCUGCUUGACCCAGAUCGUCUUAAUCCCAGAGAGUUCUUGGUCUACCACCAUGGACUAUUCAAACUGAGACCGCAGUCAGCGGGAAGAUUCUCUCUGCUCCUGUCACAGUCGCUGUUGAGGACAUGAGCUUUGACUCCAGUCCUGUCUUCCAAUGGGUGUUCUUCAAGGUGCUGCCAAACUCCACCUUCGUCCCAGAUAGCAACCUUUUUCCUACCGAGUGCACUACCUAUGACUAGAACCCUAUGGGCCCUGGUCAAAGGAAGUGGACUAUAUUAGGAAAUAGGGAGGGAUUUGAGACAUAGCAUCUAUCAUAUUCCGAAAUACUGUCUGGAGAUGACAAUGUACUUAUGACUGUAUCAUCAACAGGGUUGGGUAGUAACGGAUAACCUGUCACAGGGAUUAGGUAAUUACAUUGCAAAAAUGGUGUAACUGUAAUCAGCCCAGAUUAAAUAUAUAUAUAUAAUAAAAAAUGAUUAUAGUUACAUUCUAACAGCUGAUUACAUUUUGCAUGACUUCUAGCUGCAAGUGUUUGCUUCAAACACACGGAAAUGACAGAUGAGCCACACUGCUCGGAAGUCACUUCUUAGUGGGAAUGGAUGCCGGUCUGUUUUAAUCUAUUUUGAAAUCUCCCAAACUGCUUAGUUGCUUUCUGCAAACCUUUUUUUUUACCAAAAAAAGGCUGACCACCACAUACUGAGAACUGACUCCUCCCAGAAUAAAAAAAGGACAUAAAGAAAAGAUGAUUAUUAUUAUUUUUUUACCCCCUUUUCUUCCCAAUUUCGUGGUAUCCAAUUGUUAGUAGUUACUAUCUUGUCUCAUCACUACAACUCCCAUACGGGCUCGGGAGAGACGAAGGUCGAAAGCCAUGCGCAAAAGGACAUUUUUAAUUAGUCAACAGCUCCACCCUGUUCAAUUCCCAGGCACUGACAUGAAACACAUGACAAAUUAAUUACUUACUCAACUAAAUUUCUAGUUUCAGUGGAAACAAUGCAAUACAACUGUAUUGACAAUCCCCUCAAAUUUGAUGUGAAGAAGUUGUCCAUAGUCACAUUUCUACCUUUGCCCAUGUAAGGCUCCAUGAGUCUCAAAACCACAGUCUGGGGCCAUUGCUCAACCACUGGCCUCGUUUAAUCUUUCCCCAGAUAUGGAAAGCCAUUGAGCAAGUACUUGGUUUUGGCUUAAUUUAAAUAGACAUUUGUCCGGUCUGUUGGCCAUGUAUUGGAUAAAACGGCACAAGCUUUGGUUGGAAACAGUUGCUCAUCAACAGUUAACAGUAUGUUCUCUCCUGGCUUGUAACAAGCAAUGCAAUUCUUCACAAAACUUUUUGAUGUGUUUGAGUGCAGCAAACCUGUCCGUCUGCACACUUAUUGGUCUUGUCUCCUUGUUAUCGAAACUCAGGUGUAGCAUAAUCUCUCCAGCCAUGUUUAUACCUGGUGCUCGCAUGCAUCCUUUGUCUUGAUCUUGUUCACAUUUUGUUUGUGUCCAUAUAUUAGCCGUUGCGUCUACACAUGGUAUUAAAAUGCCUCUUACCCAUCCACUGUGUUCGCAUUGUGACCAGAUUUCCCUGUAUGCAAAUAAUUUGAAAGAUAUUGUUUUUCAAAAUUAUAUUAAUUUAUUUAUUUUAGGAAAAAUAUUGGUGCCAUAAGUCAAUGGUGCCACCUAUGAUUCAUUUGGAGGGUGGGAUAAUUAGGAUUUAUAUGGUUUCACUGUCCAGAACCAUCUACACUUGUAAUAUAUCCAGACACAAUGCAUCCCUGACUACCUCUGAAGGUGAUAAGGAAGAUCUAAUCACAAUCAGAUCAAAUGUGUCUUAAUCGUCUACACCUGUGAAAAAAUGUGGGGACAAUCAGAAUGUGGACAGGACAAUGAACGCAUGUUAGGACCAGGGGCUUAUGAAGCGGUUGCAUACCUAUCAGACCAAAAUGACUCCACAUCCGUGCUCUUUCUGCCAUAUGCCCACGGGACAUACAGUACAAAAGUGCAAUAAAUGCUUUGAGUUCAUCCAUAGACAUGUCCCACCCACAUACUGUUUACUUUUUUGUGUACAUGAGCGACAGUACAAUCUCUGUGCGUCAACAUCUGCAUGUCACAUGAGCAAAGAAAACUGUAGAGUGCGGUGGCAGUUUCUCUUUGCGUGACAUAUAGGGCCUGCUCUCUGUGAGAAUAUUCUGGAAAGGCCACCUUCCUGUUACGAUCUCGUCACUCUUUUCUACCCCGUUCCAUCCCUCCCAGACUUCUGUCUCACCAUGACAGUUGGGAUAACCGUCUCAGUUGGCCUUGUUCUGAUUUUUCUGCAGCGAGGCUCAGACACCGGAGGCGGAGGCUCGGAGUCGACAUCAAAAUCAAUUGAAGAGUCUUCAUCGGCAACACUGAUUUCAAGCUCAAUAUCCGAUCCGACUCCAGCUCUUCUAAAUUCUGCAUUCAGGCAUUUUCAAUGCUGUCAGUGCGUCCAUUUGUUUGGUUUGGAUUGCCAUUUUGAACUACACACGUGUGUUGUACUCAGCGUCGGGGGCGCCGUGAGAGUUAUUUAAGUUACUCUUCAAAGAGGUAGGGUUUCAGACGUUUUCAAAAGAUGGGUAGUACUCCCCUGUCCUGACUUUAGGGGGAAGCUUGUUCCACCAUUGGGGUGCCAGGACAGAGAAAAUUGUCCUGAAACUAAUCCAAGUCCACAACGACAGUCAGAAGUACUGAGCAAUCAGACAGUUCAAACAGCAAUGAUUUAACUUGGCUACUAGGUAAAGGACAGCACUUCAAUUUAAUUGCCCCAGCAAGACAAUACCAACAGCUACUUAUUGAAUCCAAAAAUGUAUUUGCUGCUCUUCUAGGAGUUGAUCCCCUUCCAUACUAUAGAUGACACACUAAGACUGGGGCCAAGUAAGGCUCCUUAAAUAGCCAGGAAAGACAGGCAAGACCACUCCCACUAAAAACACCCUUCAGUUAUCAAGGGCUAUUACACAAAUAGGCCUGCAACUAAUCUAAGUCCACAACGACAGUUACAAGUACAGCACAAUCAGACAGUUCAAACAGCACUAUUGUUCUAAAUUCAAUCAUCCUCUUCACCACAGGAGGUUGUUGGCUGCUUAAUUGGGGAGGACGGGCUUGUGGUAAUGGCCGGAGCGGAUUUUGUAGAAUGGAAUCAAAAACAGUGCAUCAACCACAUUUUUUCCAUGUUUGAUGCCAUUCAAUUUGCUCUGUUCCAGCCAUUAUUAUGAUCCGUCCUCCCCUCAGCAGCCGUAACUGCUCUUCACCCUCAUCAUUCCGCUAAUUCCAAUUAAAUUGUGAAGUCAUAUGCACAAUUAUCAGCUUCUAUCACCAUUUCAUCCAUUGAUGUCAUUCAUUCAGCGAGGAGAGAGACACAUUAGCGCCUGGGUACCAACGUCCUUCAGCCCGUUUGUCUUAGCCCCUUAAGGUACCAAUAGCUAAAGAAAAUACAUACAAAAUGAACAGGGAAACAGCCUCUAAAUACUUUUCUGUUUGUGAUUGGACAAUUCUAACAACUGAGCAUUGUAAAAUAUAAAUAUUUAGGAAAAGUAAUUCAAUCAGCAGAAAAUAGCUUUUUUGGUGAGAUUGAACAGAGUGGCUAUAGUUCUGGAUUUUCUGGAAACCAGAAAAUACGAAGAUUCCUGCACAUCCGGGAUCCACUAGCCUACCUCCUUUCAGUUGCUGCUUAGUGCUCAGACACUGUGACUCUGUGACUACACAAAACAGUUUGCUCAAACUUAGCCUAUUUUUACAACAGACAAAGAACUAUGGCAAACAUAAGCAUGACAAACAGGUUGUCUAGUAAUUUGAUGUUCUUUUUUCAGGAAACCUGCUGGCUAUAUCGCAGCAUAAACAUCACACAAAACGCUAAUUGUUUUGCCGCAAUGCAAUGUGUAGACUGUGUCUUGCUUGUGCUAUGGCAAUAUCCGUUACCACAGACAGCCUUCAUAUACAGUGCAAGUCAAAAGUUUGGACACACCUACUCAUUCAAGGGUUUUUCUUUAUUUUUUACUAUUUUCUCCAUUGUAGAUUA